AACAUGUGGGCAACACUACGUACCCCCUGACUGCCAGUGGCGAUUUUGGGGGGUGGCCUGGGGUGGCCUGAAAUCUCAUUGGCCACCCUGUGGCCACCCCCAGACCUGAUUGGUAGUUCAUGAAGUUCAUUAACACAAUAACCUAGUUUUUUAUCUUCUCCUCCUUCCCAAACAAGAGGACACGCCUUUCAAUCAAUAAUGACAGCUCAGGUGAUUCGUUGGUUUAGAGCUAACAGACCCAGGGCCAGUUUUACAUUUCUAAGUAUUAUAGUAAUGGUCGGACUGAGACUGUAAGCUGAUCUGGGGUCAGCAGCGUCGGUACUGAUGCGAGGCCGAGGUGGACGGACAGAAGGUGCUAGUCGACCAGACGGUGACAACCAGCCGACGUGAAUUGAUCAUCAAAAAACGGAGAGGUUCCUCACCUAGUGAGGAAAAUGGUUCUGAUGUUGAUGAUGAAGAGGCUCUUCAGACACAGACUGCCCCACCUGGACCUCACGAUCUCUCACAGUCCAGAGCAGCAGGUCCAACACGGAUCCAGAACCUAUGUGAAGAGAUUUGCUGGGACCUGGCAAGGUAACAGGAACAGGUGCUUCCAGAGAGACUGGUACAAACAGUAUCCAUGGCUUGAAUAUUCUCAAAGCCAAGACGCAUCAUACUGCUAUGCAUGUCGUCAUUUCUCUCUGCCAAAUACCCCAAACAUCUGUGUUCACAGAUGCUCAGUUUAUAGA